GGGUAAAUUUUUUAGUAAGAUACAUAUGUACAUAUGAUUAAUACCUCAGGCUCUCAUUUUUUAUUUAUGUCUUUUUGAUAAGUGGUCUAAAUAACAGUAUAUUAAUUGUUGGAAAAAAAUAAAAAUAGUUGACCAGUGAUUGCGUGGACUUUUAAGCAGCAGUAAUUUAUUUUCACACACAUUAACAUACAUAUGUAUGUAAAUUGGUAUUAACAUGGAAAUAGGGGUGCCAAAUUACAAUUUUUUUCCCGUGUUUUUAAUUUGUUUUUGUACGGAUUCAGUUAUAAUUAAACUUUUAAAAUGCACAUGUGAUAUUUUUGUGCUUUAUUUUAUUUCAUACUAAAAUAAAAAACUAUACAACUGUCAACUUAUUCUGUGACACAUUCUGAUUUUCUCGUCUACUUGGAGCAUGCUCUUUCUUUGAAUAAAAGGGUGGUUUACAUUGUUACGAGGACACAUACAUAUAUAUAUAAAUAUAUGGACGUUAUUUCCAUGCUGCAACCCACCAUGUGUACCAAUUUUAACACAUUCGCUGCCCAACAGAUUUACGAUAAUUUUUAAGGGGAAAAAUAAAUCUCGUUUUCUAGAUGUCUGUACGAUGUACAUGUAUUUGUUUUUACAUCUGGAAGAAAUACCCUGCUAGAUCUAUAUUUUCUAUGGUACAAACAUAUGUAUGUUUACUUUUACCUUUUUUUUACCUAUCUAUGAAGAAACUACAGUGGCUUACAGCUUAAAUGAACCAGACAACCAGAAAAACUUAAAAGUGGUACACUCAAAUGUGGUACAAAUUCAGUCGAAGUUACGAUCAAACGAGUAUAUCCUCUUGCGUGAUGCCCGGCUAUCGUUAAAAGUCUGUGGGACUAAUCUCGAAUUUACCUGUUUUUACGCAUGGGAUGCCUGUGCGUAUUGGCAAUCCGUCUUCGUUGCUUGAUCUUGCGCCGCUCCCAACUGAUUUUAAUUUCAAAUAAAUAAUUUGGAAAUUGAGAUAAGAGCCAUGUUCAACAGCUGUUGGGUCACUGUGCACAGCGAGAAAAAAGACGCACUGAGAGGACAAGCUAGAUGAGAGACCAGGCAGCAGCAGCAGCAGCAGAAAGAGCACGAUGAUCAGCAGUUAUGUAUGUCCCUAUGUAUGUACAUAUAUACAGGGCAGACGGCGCAGCGAAGUGACGAAAGCUAACGACGAACUCCAAUAAAGCAAAGCAGAGGCGCCGAGAUAUUAGACCAUAAACGAAGAAUGCAGGCGUCGUAUGGUAAGAGUGAGAGCCAGAGUGCAGCUCGCGUGAAAUCCAGAGAGUGAGUAGGCAGU